GGGGGGAGCAAGCGUUGUUCGGAUUUACUGGGCGUAAAGGGCGCGUAGGCGGCCAACUAAGUCAGACGUGAAAUCCCUCGGCUUAACCGGGGAACUGCGUCUGAUACUGGAUGGCUUGAGUUUGGGAGAGGGAUGCGGAAUUCCAGGUGUAGCGGUGAAAUGCGUAGAUAUCUGGAGGAACACCGGUGGCGAAGGCGGCAUCCUGGACCAACACUGACGCUGAGGAGCGAAAGCCAGGGGAGCAAACGGGAUUAGAUACCCCGGUAGUCCUGGCCCUAAACGAUGAAUGCUUGGUGUGGCGGGUAUCGAUCCCUGCCGUGCCGAAGCUAACGCAUUAAGCAUUCCGCCUGGGGAGUACGGUCGCAAGGCUG
rnacentral:rRNA from 1 species